GAUGAACGCUGGCGGCGUGCCUAAUACAUGCAAGUCGAGCGAACAGACGAGGAGCUUGCUCCUCUGACGUUAGCGGCGGACGGGUGAGUAACACGUGGAUAACCUACCUAUAAGACUGGGAUAAAUUCGGGAAACCGGAGCUAAUACCGGAUAAUAUAUUGAACCGCAUGGUUCAAUAGUGAAAGACGGUUUUGCUGUCACUUAUAGAUGGAUCCGCGCCGCAUUAGCUAGUUGGUAAGGUAACGGCUUACCAAGGCAACGAUGCGUAGCCGACCUAAGAGGGUGAUCGGCCACACUGGAACUGAGACACGGUCCAGACUCCUACGGGAGGCAGCAGUAGGGAAUCUUCCGCAAUGGGCGAAAGCCUGACGGAGCAACGCCGCGUGAGUGAUGAAGGUCUUCGGAUCGUAAAACUCUGUUAUUAGGGAAGAACAAAUGUGUAAGUAACUAUGCACGUCUUGACGGUACCUAAUCAGAAAGCCACGGCUAACUACGUG
rnacentral:rRNA from 1 species